ACUAAUAUUGUCUGUAGAUGGUAAUUCAGCAUGACAUGCAUUUACGUGAGAGUAUUAAUUGUUGCAUGAUAUGUCGAUCGCGAAACGAUCAUGCGUGCAUGUCAUGCACAUAUUGCAGGACGAAAAAUUAAACAACUUGUCAAUCAAUGUACAGCACGUAGGUAGUAAGCAUGUCAUUCGCAUCAAU